GACGAACGCUGGCGGCGUGCUUAACACAUGCAAGUCGUGCGGUAAGGCCCUUUCGGGGGUACACGAGCGGCGAACGGGUGGGUAACACGUGAGCAACCUGCCCUUCACUUUGGUACAACUGCCGGAAACGGUGGCUAAUACCGGAUAUGACUUUCUCACGCAUGUGGGGUGGGGGGAAGCGUUCGGGUGGUGGUGGAUGGGCUCGCGGUCUAUCAGCUUGUGGGGGGGGUGAUGGCCUAGCAAGGCUUCGACGGGUAGCCGGCCUGACAGGGUGACCGGCCCCGCUGGGACUGAGGCGCGGCGCAGCAUCCUACGGGAGGCCGCAGUGGGGGAUAUUGUACAGUGGGCGAAAGCCUGAUCCAGCAACGCCGCGUGGGGGAUGACGGCCUUCGGGUUGUAAACCUCUUUCGCCUGCGACGAAGCGAGAGUGACGGUAGCAGGUAAAGAAGCGCCGGCCAACUACGUG
rnacentral:rRNA from 1 species